rnacentral:rRNA from 1 species
UACGAAGGGGGCUAGCGUUGUUCGGAAUUACUGGGCGUAAAGCGCACGUAGGCGGAUUGUUAAGUGAGGGGUGAAGUCGUCAGGGCUCAACCCUGGAACUGCCUUUCAUACUGGCAAUCUCGAGUCCGAGAGAGGUGAGUGGAAUUCCGAGUGUAGAGGUGAAAUUCGUAGAUAUUCGGAGGAACACCAGUGGCGGAAGGCGGCUCACUGGCUCGGUACUGACGCUGAGGUGCGAAAGCGUGGGGAGCAAACA